UAUUGUGAGUCUGUGCACAAAACUAUCAGGAGAAAAACUCGCACAGUGAUGGUUGGCAACGUGGCUCUCGGUAGUGAGCAUCCUAUACGAGUUCAAACCAUGACUACAACAGACACUAAAGAUGUUGUUGGAACAGUUGAACAGGUGAUGGGGAUAGCUGAUAAAGAAGCAGACUUAGUUCGAAUAACAGUUCAAGGGAAGAGAGAGGCAGAUGCAUGUUAU